rnacentral:rRNA from 1 species
GACGAACGCUGGCGGCGUGCUUAACACAUGCAAGUCGAACGGAAAGGCCCUGCUUUUGUGGGGUGCUCGAGUGGCGAACGGGUGAGUAACACGUGAGUAACCUGCCCUUGACUUUGGGAUAACUUCAGGAAACUGGGGCUAAUACCGGAUAGGAGCUCCUGCUGCAUGGUGGGGGUUGGAAAGUUUCGGCGGUUGGGGAUGGACUCGCGGCUUAUCAGCUUGUUGGUGGGGUAGUGGCUUACCAAGGCUUGACGGGUAGCCGGCCUGAGAGGGUGACCGGCAACAGUGGGACUGAGAUACGGCCCGGCCUCCAGCGGGAGGCAGAAGGGGGGAAUAGGGAACGAGGGGCGGAGGCCUGAUGCAGCACCGCCGCGUGGGGGAUGACGGCCUUCGGUUUGUAAACCGAUUUCGCCUGUGACGAAGCGUGAGUGAGGGUAAUGGGUAAAGAAGCACGGGCUAGGUACGUG